rfam:Pristionchus pacificus strain PS312 contig5227, whole genome shotgun sequence.
AGCCUCAGACAUUCUUGUAUGUCGCGAAUUGAAGCGAUACCAGUCUGGAUGAGGCUGA